ensembl:snoRNA SNORD33 Small nucleolar RNA Z195/SNORD33/SNORD32 family
ACUGUCGGUGAUGUUUUUACCCAUCUUGUUUGAGUUUACCAUGAAAACUCACAUGCACUACCAUCUGAGACAGU